UGCCUGGGAAAUUGCCCUGAUGUGGGGGAGUAACCAUUGGAACGAUGGCUAAUACCGCAUAAUGUCUACGGACCAAAGAGGGGGACCGUUCGGGCCUCUCGCUUCAGGAUAUGCCCAGGUGGGAUUAGCUAGUUGGUGAGGUAAUGGCUCACCAAGGCGACGAUCCCUAGCUGGUCUGAGAGGAUGAUCAGCCACACUGGAACUGAGACACGGUCCAGACUCCUACGGGAGGCAGCAGUGGGGAAUUUUCCGCAAUGGGCGAAAGCCUGACGGAGCAAUACCGCGUGAGGGAUGACGGCC
rnacentral:rRNA from 1 species